GAGUGAAGAGCGAAACCACACAAAGGGGCCCUGUUUGAUCUUUGUUCUGAAAACUCAAAGACAGCAAGAGCUGUAAAAAUUACUUGCUGUUCCCAUGUAACGAGCAAAUUGGUACAAUAUUUCGCAAAGGCCCAGGACUCUUUCACGUUUCUUAAGGACAACUGAAUGCACUUUGUCUCGCUAAGACUGAUAGACCUCGUCUGGAUAGAUGGGAGCCGCUUUUCUUCCCUGACACUCCUUCUGUGAAACUCUGCACUGUGUUAAAAUCCUUUGAUGCAGGAAUUUCAGUCACAGGUCAUUCUGUAUGUAAGUUUAUAUUCCCUUGGUUAUUUAGAUCUGUAUAUUAUACAUUCUCAAGCUUUUUACAAGCUCAUUUGUGUGUCUCAUGAUUAAAAAAUCUGUUUAUGUUUUUUUGCUUGUCAAGACAUAAUCAGCUUUCAUGCUGUGUCUAUGUGAUAUGUUCAAUAAUCAGUCAGGUUUAUGGGGAAAGCAGGAGCAGCAAUGCCAUACAAAGUACUUCUCGGGGAUGAGUCUGAAGCUGUGAACUCGCUUUUCAUUCUGCUUCACCUAAAAUCUUAAAGCUAUGUGCCGCCGUCAAGGAAGUUUUUGUAGCAAUCUGGGCUCUGUUAGCUGACUAGCUCCCCCUCUUGAAACUCUGCAAACACUGACAGAGAACUAGUCAAGGCUGUAAAGAGAAGUGAAAUGAAAUCCAUCGGUACUGUAGUACUUCAUUGUUAUAUCAGUUGUGGAUUUUUAUUUUUUCCUUUGCAACCUUGACAGCUGGGGAACAGUCCUUGCCUUGCUGUUGCUGCUGGUUUCUGAACUGAAGUUUUAAGAACAUAUCAGGGGUUUUGGUGCCUGUUGCAAAAGGGUUGAGGGCUGCAAAGUUCACCCUAGUGCUGGUGUCCAGGGGGGAUGGAGAGAGGAGCUCCCCAGCUGAAGGGCACUGGAGAAGGACAGAGGAGGACAAGGAUGGCUGGGGGACAUCAUGGUUCAGCUCCACCCUGCAGCAGACCCUAUGGAGAGACUGCAGCGUACAGCGGGGCAGGAAGGGCAGUGCCCAUCUGUGCAGGAGUGCAAACAUCAGCUGUGCCUCCUGGGGCAUUCCCUCCUGACAAUGAGCCCAGCUGACACAGGAGGUGGCAGCUGUGCCUCCACGCUGCAUGGCUUGGCGAGGAACGGGGCUGUAAACAUGGUAGGUAACUACAGAAAGGAGUUUCUUUUUCAUUUUUGUUUUGUUUUGUUUUCUAGAACAGAUACAAGGUAUAGGAGGAGAUUUUGUUCUUGGUUGUCACGUGGAAAGAGAGUGGUGGAGAGCAAAGGAAUCAAGAUGUACAGGACAGUACUGCUACUGUGGCAUUUUUCUCCAGCUAAGGAGCAGAACUGCAAAUGAAGAGACUGUAAAGGCUUUACUUUAAACAUUAUUUGGAAUGAGUUGCGCACUUGCAGUGAAGAUUAGUGCUUGACUGCACCUGACUUUUUAUUUAUUUAUGAUUUUAUUCUAUGGGAAAUAUGACAGAAAAAGACUUACUGAAGUUCUGCGAGUGAGCACAAGCACUUGCAUCAUUUUAACAUCUGUCACCAAGCACAAUUGAUAAUGGUGACUGCUAUUAUGGCAUCUUCCUCCCCUCCGCACAAGGCCAUCUGGGAUUUGUGUUAUGUAAGAGGAUUAGCAUUUUUGCUUUCCUCUGUUAUUUAAAGUAUUUCUCAGAACUAGUUUUUGAAUAAUAACAACAAUAAUAAUUGGGCUGUUUUCUGUGGGGCUUUCUGAAAGGAAAAUUCGGGAAUUCUAAAGCCAUUGCUCUUAAGAUGAACACCUGGCCUUGCCAUUUGGGUUUGAAUGGGAUUCACUUGAAAUGGGAUUUUUCAAGCUGUGGUGGAUAGGACUGAUGGAAGGCUGAUAUGACUGGAUGAAAUGAAGGAUAAAGCAUAAAUUAUCGUGAGUGGAUCUGUUCCAGCAAGGAAACAAUUGUGAUUUCCUUUUCUUCCUCUCAGACCUGAUUAUUCAUCACAUUGUUUAUAACGAAAAUCUCAGCUUCAAAUCCUAUCUCAUAUAAUUAUAGUGGUGGCUGGUAAUUUUGACUGUUAAGAAAGCCUGAUAUUUAUCAUUAUCUGACCCUGGCUUGGGUUGUUUAUAUAUUUAUGAAAAUUGAAUUAUUUGGUCUGAAAUUUCUCAUACAGAGUAUUCAGACAUCCUUAAGAUAGAGAAUUUUGAAAAGGUCUAAUCAAAAUAUCUGGCUAUUUUUCAAGAUUUACUUAAAAACAACAACAAAAAUUUACCAUGAAAAAAAGUGUAAUGCAUUAGGAAUACCACUCAAAUUCACAUCAGCUGGAGCUAAUAGUAUUGUAAGGCAGGACUAGGGAGAAGAGAUGCGUUAUUAGACCUGUGACAG
ensembl:lncRNA